AUUGAACGCUGGCGGCAGGCUUAACACAUGCAAGUCGAGCGGUAGCACAGGGGAGCUUGCUCCCUGGGUGACGAGCGGCGGACGGGUGAGUAAUGUCUGGGAAACUGCCUGAUGGAGGGGGAUAACUACUGGAAACGGUAGCUAAUACCGCAUAACGUCGCAAGACCAAAGAGGGGGACCUUCGGGCCUCUUGCCAUCAGAUGUGCCCAGAUGGGAUUAGCUAGUAGGUGGGGUAAUGGCUCACCUAGUCGACGAUCCCUAGCUGGUCUGAGAGGAUGACCAGCCACACUGGAACUGAGACACGGUCCAGACUCCUACGGGAGGCAGCAGUGGGGAAUAUUGCACAAUGGGCGCAAGCCUGAUGCAGCCAUGCCGCGUGUGUGAAGAAGGCCUUCGGGUUGUAAAGCACUUUCAGCGAGGAGGAAGGUGGUGAGCUUAAUACGUUCAUCAAUUGACGUUACUCGCAGAAGAAGCACCGGCUAACUCCGUG
rnacentral:rRNA from 1 species